CUGCACCGAGCGCUCUGGACAGUGGCCCGGGCUGCGGGUUGGGGGCCUGCUGGGCUCCCAGGACGAGGCCGCUGCUCCGGUGACCAUGCGCUGUCCUUUCCACCGACCCGCCUUGUCCAGGACGGCGUGGGACAGGAGGUGGCUCUGCUCCCAGAGCAGCUGGGCAUUUCCCUGUGGCUCCCUGGCCCCCUGCGCUCCCCUCCCAGCCUGGAGAGCCGCAGUCACCUUAGCAGAGGCCCGGUCGGGCCAGCCCUGGAAACCACAGAGGAGGGAACAGCGGUCUGCUGCCGGCCUGUGGACCGCGCCUUGGGAGCGGAACGCCGGCCUGGCUCCCGGGACCUUGGCCAGCCCUUGCUGCCUGCCGUAAAUCAAAGCGUCCUGAAGGGCAUGGGAUCAGGGGAGAGCUCUCCGGGCUCUGGAACCCGAAUACCGUCAUCGCAUGUUUGCUCGCUGAGCUCUGGGCAGCAGGGCUGGCCCGGUUCCGGCGGGUGUAGGCACCAGGCUUUGAGGUCUCCCUGAGCCUGUGGACUCACAGCUGGCCAGCGCUUUCCGCCUUGCACCCAGCCAGCUGGCCGGGCCAGGGCGGGAAGAGCUGGAUUAGCACCUGGAGAAAGCCACGUGCCUCGGAACUCCGCCUCCGAAGUUUCCCC
rnacentral:lncRNA from 1 species